GAGAAAGAGAUUGCCGCUUUGGACGCCGAGAAUACGGCAAGUUCAAGGAUGCUGGAGCUCCGAAAGAAGCAGUUUGCUCUGCUGUUGCAUGUGGUGGAUGAGUUGCAGAACACCAUAGAGGAAGAGCAGAAGAGUUUGAUUGAGGAGAAAGAGCACAAACACGGAAUGGAGGAUGCAAGUGGGGGCCCGGAACCCAUGCAUGUUGAUUAGAGUAUACAAUGCAUCUCUUGGUUUUGCAGUUGUAAGAUUGUGUUUUUCAUGAAUGGGUUUCUAUCUAUGCAUGAUCUCUCUUGAAUCUUGAUUUACAGAAACAGGAAUGUAAGAGUGGUGCUUUACAGAUGCAAUAUGUCAGCGAUAUUUUGAAUUUCUUAAUUUUGUGCAACUUGUAGAUUUUCUUGCAUACUGCUUCACCAAGUUCACAUGAUGGGUAGAACUUUGCCGGAACUUCUUUCUGGAUCAAUUUCAAUGUAGCUAAUUGUAUAAGCCUAA